rnacentral:rRNA from 1 species
GACGAACGCUGGCGGCGUGCUUAACACAUGCAAGUCGAACGGAAAGGCCCUGCUUUUGUGGGGUGCUCGAGUGGCGAACGGGUGAGUAACACGUGAGUAACCUGCCCUUGACUUUGGGAUAACUUCAGGAAACUGGGGCUAAUACCGGAUAGGAGCUCCUGCUGCAUGGUGGGGGUUGGAAAGAUUCGGCGGUUGGGGAUGGACUCGCGGCUUAUCAGCUUGUUGGUGGGGUAGUGGCUUACCAAGGCUUUGACGGGUAGCCGGCCUGAGAGGGUGACCGGCCACAUUGGGACUGCGAUACGGCCCAGACUCCUACGGGAGGCAGCAGUGGGGAAUAUUACACAAUGGGCGGAAGCCUGAUGCAGCAACGCCGCGUGCGGGAUGACGGCCUUCGGGUUGUAAACCGCUUUCGCCGGAGACGAAGCGUGAGUGACGGUAAUGGGUAAAAAAGCACCGGCUAACUACGUG